rnacentral:lncRNA from 1 species
AUGAAUUUCGAGGCAAGACAAAUAGACCAUAGCAUUUUAAGCUAUUAAAUUUAGGAGUUGUUUGUUUCACAGCAGUAAAUAAUGAGGGAUGGAUGGGAAGAUGGCAGAGUAGAGGAAAGCUGCAUUCCAAGUCAUGCCAUGGCCUGAGACCAAAGCAACAGUUGUACAGCUUCUCAGCAAGAAGUGUAAAAGAGGGAUUUCACUAAAAUUCAAAAUUGGACAUUCAAAGUGGCUUAGGGACUCAAAUUUGGGUACAAUAAACAAAGAAGAAAGAAUAUAUUGGAGGUUACCCAGCUGCCACACCAUCACGGAAAGUGAAGGUGAUUGGCACUGAUUCACCACAAAGGAUGAUUCACACCCAUGUUGGGGCAGGCCCAAAAUGUCUAGUUAGACGCCUUCCUGAGGCUUCCAGUGGCCUAUGUUAUGUUUUUAGUGUGUAACCAAGGGCAUGAAUUGGCUAUGCUAUGGUCAGUGUGUAUCUUCUUCCAGCUGAAGUGGUUCUGGAGUCUGAGCAGGCAGGAGUGAAUACCUCGGGGACUAAGCUCAGGAAGAUUGUGCUCUUGGGAGCAGUUAGUGGAAGAUUGGCACCCCUUGCCCCUCCACUGAAAUUCUUGGGAGGCUCCUGUGAUCCAAACCGGAAUCAACUAUUGUUAAGCCCUAGGGGUGGGCUGACCUAAUCUCUCAGAAGCAGGUAUCACCAACAAAGCCCUUGAGGUCUGAUUAGGCCUAAGCCCCACCUUCUGGAACUCCCCUCAGAACUGUGCAUAAGCUUUACCCUGGGAGUACACUAAAGUGGUCUGAACAGACAGAACUCCAACUUCCUAAUACGUCACACCUUAUACUAGUGAGAAGGGAAGCUGAAUUUUAAACAACUUCAGUCUUAGGCCGCUCCAACUGGCACAUCAGACAGCAACACAAAAACAAGAAAGGAUUAAACCCUCACCCCUUGCUCUCUCAGUACAAAACUCAAGGAGAACUGGAAAAAAGGACUAUUGAACGUAGACAGUGACCACCCAAUCUGGUCGACUAUUUUUACCAUCUCUGUGGAGAUGGUUCCUUCGUUCUUCAUUAAGAAUUUGUGUGUGUGUGUGUGUGUGUGUGAAUUCUUGCUGUGUUAAUUGGUUCAGGGACAUAUACACAUACACUUUUUACUUUUCUCUCAUUUUUAGCAUUUUUAAUGUAGUUUAUUUUUCUUGUCUUUGUCUUUUGAGGGUUUGGGGUUUAUUUUUCUUGUCUUUGUCUUUUGAGGGUUUGGGGUUUAGGGAUUGUAUAUUUUUGUUUAUUUGUUUGUUUGGGGGGGGUGGGUACCAGGGAUUGAACUCAAGGGCACUCAACCACUGAGCCACAUCCCCACAUUCAUAGCCCUAUUUUGUAUUUUAUUAGACACAAAGUCUCACUGAGUUGCCUAGUGCCUCGCUAAGUUGCUGAGGCUGGCUUUGAACUUGCAAUCCUGCCUCUACCUCCUGAGCUGCUGGGAUUAUAGGAGUGUGCCACCACACCCAGCCUUUGUUUGGUUUUGUAUAAUUUUCAUUUAUUUAUUUCUCUUGUCUUUCUCUCUUUUGCUAGUGGCCUAAUUCUGUUCUCUCUCCCUCUGUCCCAAUACUUCUAUUUUUCCCCUCCUUUCGUGUAAAAAUCACCUGCUACAUCUCUUCUGCAUUCUCUUUGUUUAUUUUUUGAAAUUGUAAACUCUUUUCUACCUUCCUAACACAUUUUCCCCUAAUGAACAAUUUUUACACCUGUGAGAACUAAUUGGCUUAUAUAACUCUUGCCCCCACCAUUAAUGCUGAUACAGUCAUUACUGCUUUGGAGGAUAAAACUGAUACUUGCUGUUUGCUUUAAAGCCAAAUCUAGUUCAUGGUUACUGUUUUUACUGUUUAAAAUUGCUGAAUCCACUGUACCUGGGUUUUGGUGGUAAUUAUGUUGAAGAUGUUGUAGUAGGAACUGGGCAUUUACUUUAAUGCUGUGUAUUUUUUGCAACAGUUAUUAAAAUU